rnacentral:rRNA from 1 species
GACGAACGCUGGCGGCGUGCUUAACACAUGCAAGUCGAACGGAAAGGCCCUGCUUUUGUGGGGUGCUCGAGUGACGAACGGGUGAGUAACACGUGAGUAACCUGCCCUUGACUUUGGGAUAACUUCAGGGAACUGGGGCUAAUACCGGAUAGGAGCUCCUGCUGCAUGGUGGGGGUUGGAAAGUUUCGGCGGUUGGGGAUGGACUCGCGGCUUAUCAGCUUGUUGGUGGGGUAGUGGCUUACCAAGGCUUUGACGGGUAGCCGGCCUGAGAGGGUGACCGGCCACAUUGGGACUGAGAUACGGCCCAGACUCCUACGGGAGGCAGCAGUGGGGAAUAUUGCACAAUGGGCGGAAGCCUGAUGCAGCAACGCCGCGUGCGGGAUGACGGCCUUCGGGUUGUAAACCGCUUUCGCCUGUGACGAAGCGUGAGUGACGGUAAUGGGUAAAGAAGCACCGGCUAACUACGUGCCAGCAGCCGCGGUGAUACGUAGGGUGCGAGCGUUGUCCGGAUUUAUUGGGCGUAAAGGGCUCGUAGGUGGUUGAUCGCGUCGGAAGUGUAAUCUUGGGGCUUAACCCUGAGCGUGCUUUCGAUACGGGUUGACUUGAGGAAGGUAGGGGAGAAUGGAAUUCCUGGUGGAGCGGUGGAAUGCGCAGAUAUCAGGAGGAACACCAGUGGCGAAGGCGGUUCUCUGGGCCUUUCCUGACGCUGAGGAGCGAAAGCGUGGGGAGCGAACAGGCUUAGAUACCCUGGUAGUCCACGCUGUAAACGGUGGGUACUAGGUGUGGGGUCCAUUCCACGGGUUCCGUGCCGUAGCUAACGCUUUAAGUACCCCGCCUGGGGAGUACGGCCGCAAGGCUAAAACUCAAAGGAAUUGACGGGGCCCCGCACAAGCGGCGGAGCAUGCGGAUUAAUUCGAUGCAACGCGUAGAACCUUACCUGGGUUUGACAUGGAUCGGGAGUGCUCAGAGAUGGGUGUGCCUCUUUUGGGGUCGGUUCACAGGUGGUGCAUGGCUGUCGUCAGCUCGUGUCGUGAGAUGUUGGGUUAAGUCCCGCAACGAGCGCAACCCUUGUUCACUGUUGCCAGCACGUUAUGGUGGGGACUCAGUGGAGACCGCCGGGGUCAACUCGGAGGAAGGUGGGGAUGACGUCAAGUCAUCAUGCCCCUUAUGUCCAGGGCUUCACGCAUGCUACAAUGGCUGGUACAGAGAGUGGCGAGCCUGUGAGGGUGAGCGAAUCUCGGAAAGCCGGUCUCAGUUCGGAUUGGGGUCUGCAACUCGACCUCAUGAAGUCGGAGUCGCUAGUAAUCGCAGAUCAGCAACGCUGCGGUGAAUACGUUCCCGGG